UUUAUGUCUAAGAAACUAAGAAUCCAUGUUGAUGCAUAUAAAUGUAAAUGAAGCAUGUAAAUGAUGCAUGUAGCUAAAUAAUGCAUGUUGAUAGUAUGAUGUAAAUGCUAAAUAGAAUGCAUUAUGAGCAAGUUACAUAAUGCUAAAUAAUGUAAUGUAGAAAUGCUAGAAUGCAUUAUGAGCAAGUUACAUAAUGCUAAAUAAUGUAAUGUAGAAAUGCUAGAAUGCAUAAUGAGCAAGUUAUAUGAUGCAUGUUUAUAGUAUGAUGUAAAUGCUAAGUAGAUGCAUAUAAAUGAUAUAUGAGAUUAUAAACGCAUGAUUAGCAUUAUGAGAUCAUAGAUGCAUGCUUAGCAUUGUGAGAUUAUAUAUGCAUAUGAACUUGGUUGAUAACUCUAGCUUGAUUAGAGAGAUAACAUUGGAAAAUGAGAAUUGAUAACUCUAGAAUGAGUAGAAUGCUUAAUUGGACAAUUAGUAUGUGAAUUAGAUCGAGUGGCAUCUAACUUAGUGUUAAGGAACAUAGGUCGUGAGUAGACCUAGAAUCAAAUAGAUCGAGUGGCAUCUAACCUAGUGUUAAUAAACAUAGGUCGUGAAAUGAAAAGUACUUAACCUAGAGUCAAGUGAACCUAGGUUGGAAAGAAUAAUGAUCCUAGUGUAAUAAACCUAGGUUAAGAAUGUGAAAGCAAUAAACCUAAUGGGUGAACUUAGGUUGAGUAAAGGCUUAGACCUAGAGAGGUCAGUUCCAUAGGGUUAAGACCAACCCCUAUGUGAUGUGAAAUGGAUUCCGGAAUCCCAAGGCUAAAAGGAUACACCCAAAGUGGUGUCGGGUGUGUGCGACGAUUUCGCCGCCCAAGGGCUAAAGAACCAUUGUCGUGGCGUGUGCGACGAUUUCGCCGCCGGAUGGUUAGCCAGUUUGUGGAUCCUACCGCCUGUUGAUUGAACCACUGUCGUGGCGUUUGUGCGACGAUUUCGCCGCCGGGUGGCUUAGUCAUGGACCUAGGCCGUUGUUGGGUGAGGUGCGAUUCGUUCGCCGCCAGACGGCUAGGAUAGGAGUACGGUGAGCUGUUGCCAGCUGAGGUGCAUGUGAGAGUUCCUUCACCUCGAGCUAGAUAGUGCGCGGACUAUCCGCGAUUGAUUGACUCGAAGCCGAGUCGGGUGGUUAGCUAUGAUAGGGUAGAGGAACCCUUAUGAGCUAGAGAUAGAGGCUUGAGCUAAGGUAAUAGAAACCUUAGAAGCCAGUGGUUAGUGUUGUGAUCCUAAGGUAAUAGAAACCUUAGAGUAAAGUUAUGAGCUAAAGUAGCCAAGUAUAAGUAGAAUUCAAAUGAUCUACUAGUUGCAUGAUUUUCAUAUCUCAUAUCGUGAGGCAUGGCAUGUAUAUUUCAAUUGAAAAUAUAUGUCUGUUGUAUAUUGUUGAACUAACAUAUUGCAGUGCCUCCUCGGACCUAUCGGUCGAUCUUUUCCCUUAGGUGGCCGUACCCACUGGGAACCAUGGAGUUGGUUCUCACCCCACGUGGUUUUGGGGUGUUUUCAGGUUGUUCGUGCGCGGCGUGGUGGCGCGAGGCAAGGGCGUAGCUCAGUAGAUAGCGCCCCACCACAGAGACCGAGGUAGCAGUACCGUGAGACAGUCUAGCUUAGGGGUCUAGAAGACAAGAAAAGAAAAUGUAUCAAACUUGAUAACUCUGAUGUAAUAGCGAGAUUGUAAUUUGGAAGUAAAAAUGUAAACAGAAACUGUGAUGUAAAAAGUGGUUGUAAAAUGAAUGCAUGUAAUAGCAAGUAGAUUAUGUAUUUGAUACUUCCUUAUGCAAUCUGGAUUGAUAUCCGUUCCUAGUUGGAACAUUCGUUGAUUGUUUGGAUUGCGACGCCUUGGACGUACUGGGGAGACUCUGUCCGCGUACAAAGGAAUCCCCGGUCCGUUCGGUGGUCUGUCGUCGGCGCCGCGACCCUGUCCAAAUAGGCGGUUGGUCGCAGGGAGUGACAGAUAAGAUGGUAUCAGAGCAUAAAGUAGAGAAUGGGCUAUGGUUUAGCUGGACCUAGGAGACCUAGGAUAGUAAACCAUAGGAGAAUAAGGCUCGUGAGAGACGAGGACUUGUGAAUUACGGCGAAAGAUUGAUCGAUUGGGUCAGGUUAGUAACCCUCUGAAACGGAUGUUAGAGGUGGAUUCAAGGUUCAGUUUAUUCUCAGCCGAGGAUGUUCAUGUUGGGCAUGCACAACAUGAAACCGGGUGAUGAGAAUAGACGUCCUUGCGUGACUUUCGCCCGAUUUGAGUCAGUGUUAGUUGUCUCGUGUUCGACCCAGAGGGUCGAGGGUUGAACGAGUUGUCGUGCUUUAGGAAGCGAUGGCAUCGUGUAGGCGAUCAAUAUAAAGAUCGGCGCGGGAUGAGACAAGUGGUGUCCCUAAGCAAUCUGAAGCGAGCGGAGAAUUGAAACUUCGCUAUCAAUUGGCCACACUCGUGGGAGUGGUGAGGCCACGAGUCGGUGGUGCAGCGUCAGUAGGAGACUACCAUACACCAAAGGGAUCGUGUAAGAGGGACUCCAAGAGUUGGUGGACCAGUGGUGAUCGCACUAGUUUCGGCUCGUCGAGUAUGGCCGGGAGUCGCGGUGGAGGUGUUUCCGUCGGGGUUGGGUGAUCCGACUUCUAGCAGUUCGUUGGUGGAGGCAGUGAGGAGGGCGAGCUUUGGUGGCCCUCAUGACCUUCAAGCUAUUGGAUCCACCCACCUUUGGUGGAGAGGAUGCGGAUCCAUGAACCAUGGAGUUGUGGAUCGACUCCAUAGAGACUCUCUUUAAGGGUCUAUGUGCUGUGGAGCGGGAUAAGGUACGCCUAGCCGUGCGUUGUCUGAAACAAUCGGCGAUGGUGUGGUGGAAAGGCGUCAAGCGGAUUUGAUCGCCUAGUUUCCUUCCUGUCGCUUGGGAUGAGCUUCGGGAUUUGUCGUGUUCUACUUCCCCGUACCCCGUACCCGAAGUUUGCCCAGUCUGGGCAGUGCACAUUCUUGAGUGCAAUUGCAAUCCCUAACCUCGGAGGUGUCUUGUGUUAACUUCUUCAAGAUACGGGAUUACCGAAGUUCUCACCAGGCGCGGUGGGGUGCGCUGCGUGAUGAGAUCUGCAUUCGUAUGGGCGAUGGCCAAGCCAUAAGCGAGGGGAGUGCCGCUGAGGGAUGAUCAGACCUUAGCGUUAGCGACGGCCUCCUCCUCCCCGAGACAGCCUGUGCGUGUGUCACCUGCAGCAUGGUUUGGAGGGUGAGUGAUAAAGAAGUGACAACCUGAGGGUUCGCGGCGAGCGCCAGGUGGCCAUGGAUAGCGACCCGGUUUGGGGAGCCUGCUGCUGCCGAGGAUAUCGCGGCAGAUGUGAUUUAGUUAAAGCAAGCAGGUACUUUUGCAUGAUCUCAAGUUGACGCAUUGUGUCUUUGCCCUGUGGUCAUUUACUGCUAUCGAUGCGUCAGAGUGGCAGGGACCAAGUGGACGGGUAAGUGUAAAUGCCCGGGCAUGCUUAUGCGGUGAAAGUGUAGCACCUGCCGGUGCAAGCAAGGAGCUAUAUGGCACUAACAAGUUACUAGUGAUAACCAGGUGAUAAGACUCAUGGUAAAGGUGGAGAUGGGGAAAUGACUCUCGAGGCAACGAUUAGUGGAUUGCGAGGGUUGAACCAUAAUACCUGUAGACACGCGAGUAAUCCGAGAAUUUCGGAUAUUGUUCCGAUAGAUCGAACGGUGAAAGGAAAGUCAUUGUUGAGAGAGUAACUGGUUAGUUACCAAGUUGUGGCACGUGGGCCUAGUAGUAGCACCUCAACUUGAGGUUAGAAGUUGUGCUUAUUUGGUCGGCGCGCAUAGGCAGGGUUGCCUGAUGCUAGAUUUAGUUUGGAACGCUAUAGAGGCGUGUAGAGCGCUUGAGUAUAGGUACUCGUGGUGUGCGGUAUUCACUCAGCCGAGAAAGUGAGAUGGCAGUAGCACUGUAGCAUUGCUAGGUGUGAAGCGUGCCUGGUAUCACUCGUAGGGGCUGAUGGCUCGCACUAGGUGCUUAGGAGCGGAUAUUGGUAUGUGUGACUCGGUAGAGCAUGUCGUGUAGGACGACGACGGCGGGUAGUGCUUGGGGACGACCCGUGCCUGGACCAUUUGUGGACUGUAGAGCCUGAGCCCUUUGGGCAGGCGCAGUCAGCUGUGAGAGACAGCGGCCCGAUACCUACAGGUAGGGCAGAGAUUUGGUCAGGAUGGUAGUCCGAGCUUAGACCCGGGAGCGUGGAAUGCCACGUGUUAGAUCAUGAGAUCGAGGAUACACCGAGUGUGUAGUGACCCAACCCGAGGAUUUGAGGUGGUUUGGGGUCACGGUUGCUCCUGGUUGGAGCGUGUGCGAAUUCUCCAAUGCGAAUUUCGCCCGAUUAUGAUUUGGCCUACGCUGGUGAGCAAGGGACGCUAUACGUAGUUGUAAGAGGUUUAGGCGGUAGACCUACGUAGGACGGGUGACUGUUGGUCCACCUGUGGAAACCGACGUAAUCGGUUUAGCCGAUAACUCUAUUAGUGAGUUGGCUUGGAUUCACGAACAUAGGGUUCGUGUGGAUUUGUCGCAAGAGCAAGGUAAAGUUGGUCGUGGCUUAUGAUAUCAAGGGCGAAAUGCUCUUGUGCGAUAUUGAGAUGUGGAUAGCCACGUGGGAAUUGGAGCUUGAGGACAAUGCUCUUUUGUGGAUUGAGAUUGGAGAUGUGCCGGAAUGGGCCAUCUCCUGAUAGAACAAGGAUCCGGUUGUGAUGAACCACUCGCGAUUGGUCGAGUCACCAACGAUAUUGCUUCUAAGCAAUGCAGGUGAUCGAAUCGGAGUGAAAUUUUUCGUUUGGGUGUAUAAUGCAAGAGUAGUUCUUUGCAUGGUGGUAAUACACUUUUGGAGCUGCACGUGGCAAAUGUGAGUGAAUCUAGUCUCACAUCUUCCGUAGUGAGCCUAUGGAUAGUUCCGAUGAGCGAAAAGCCACUCCGAGAUGCAAAAGUGCACUGUACCCCUUGUCACUCAAGAAAGAGAAUUAGAGUGUGAAUUGGGUUGAAGUGAGUGAGUUUCGGGGACGAAACUCUUUUUAAGGAGGGGAGAAUGUAAGGUACCGGACUUCUAAAACUAUGAAGUUACGGUGUACAUUUAAAUGGCUCCGGUGAGGUUGCGGCGGAAUGUAACAUACCGGAUUUUAAAUAUAAAAGUGAAAAUAAAUAAAAAUAGUAUGAGAUACUAUUUUUAUUGGAUUUAGAGAAGUGAAAUAUAGGUUGGGAAUGACCUGUGCUGAAAUCGGAGCGAAAACAGAAGAUUUAGAAUUUUCUGUUGGAAAUGGGACAGAUAAUUAGCAGAAAAUGCACAGUCUCAGAAAAUUAUGAAAAUUGGCGGGGAUGUCAGAAAUAUUUUAAUGAGGCUAGAUUUGAAGUUUCAUAUUUUUCUGACGCCCGUAGAGAGAGAAAUAGCAUCCGAAAGCCAUCUGAUAAAGAUUGCAGUUCGGCACAGUUUUCGGUGACCAAACGGGGUCGAAACUGAAAUAUUAAAAUUUCUUUGGACUUAUUAAGUAAAACCGAGCGUGCCUGUCAAAUUUGAGCUCAAACGGAUAUUCAGGGAGCUCCGGCGAAAGAUAUCAGAUUUGGAGCUGCCUGAUGUGAAUAGUGUAUGCUACUAUUGAGGUGUUGACUAUAAGUAGAAGCUACUAGGCUUCUUCCUCCUCAAGUUGCAGCCAGCACCAAGCAUCACACGCACAUGGUGUAGUGAGAGAAACCCUCUCUUUCUCUCUCUAAAUAUCUCUCUCAUCUCUCUAUAUUUCUCGCCCAAAUUCGCGGCGUUGGUGGAGAUCGAGCUUGCGAACGCGUUGGAGGCGACGGAUUGAGCUUUCGUGCGCCCGUUGGAGCGGCGUGUUUUCGUUGCGGCGUUCACAUUGGGGUAAGCUUUUGGGAUUUGGCUUAAUCCUUAGCUUUAAGUGUUCUAUUAGCCUCUAAUGAUCAUUAGUAAGCAUAUUGAUCCAUUUAAUUUGGAUUAUUUGGAGGUUAAUUGUACGUUAGGGCUCCGAAUGGGAUUUUGUAAAAUGUAAGGGUUUGAUCUCAUUUGACCCUUCGUAAACCUAAUUGCUAGGUAACGAAACGCGUUGGCGAAGACGGUUCGGUAAUUCGACGAGCCGUUACAAAGUUAUUAAAGAAAUAGACGUUUAGGCUUCGGGUCCGCCGGGAGGGCCGAUGCGACGUCGUAAAAUCAUGGAAAUGGAUUUGAGGCAUCGUGGCACAUAACCGAAGACCUAUAAUUUCCGGAUUUGUAAAGCGGAACACGGUUGAGGCGCAAGAUCUUGUCGGGCCCAAAGGGUGCCGAGUGCCGCGGGAGGCCGAUUGCAAGUGACGACAAGCAAUCGGAACGCGAGUUAAGGUGGGUUGUGCUUACCGAAGCGACUAGGUCGCCCUUUAUGUCUUAGCAAUGUAAUCUCAUGUUGAUGCAUGUGCAUGUAGACAAGAGCAAGGAUGCAUGUUAAUAAAGAUGCAUAAAGUAGAUGCUAAGUAGAAAGCAUGAUAAAUGGUAAUGCUUAGAGCAAAUGCAUAUUAAUAACAAUGCAUAGUGGAGCAUAAUGAUUAUGGCAUUAGAUAAUGCUAGCUAAUGUAAAGUAAUGCAUGAUAAUGAUAAUGCAUAGAUGAAAAUGCUUAGUAGAAAUGCAUGGUGAGCAAGUUACACAAUGCUAAUAAUGCAUGAUAAUAAUGUAAUGCUAAGUAAUGCAUGAUAUGAAGUAAAUGCAUAUUAAUAAUAAUGCAUGAUGAGGAUGCUAAGUAAGGGAUGCAUGUUAGUAAUGAUGCAAAGAGUAAUUGCUAAGUAGAAAGCAUGAUGCAUGGUAUAUGUAUAUAAACCAGAUGAUAACUCUAGGAUGAGUAGAGAUGACUGGACAACUAAGUUGUCAGGUAGAUCGAGUGGCAUCUAACCUAGUGUUAAAGAACAUAGGUUGGUUAGUAAACCUAGAGUUGAACAAUCUAGGUGUGUGGCAUCUAACCUAGUGUUAGUAAACCUAGGUUGAACUAGUAAACCUAGAAGUGGAUAUCUAGGCAAAGAUGAUAAGAACCUAGCAAGUGUAUCUAGGUUAAGUGAUGUGGACAUAGAACCUAGAGUGUUGGAACCUAGGUUGAUGAGUAUAGUGGUAUAGCCACUAGAUUGAGCUAGGUCGACAGUAUAGGGUUGGCUAUGAACCCUCGACCUGUGGUAAGUGGAUUCCGGAAUCCCAGGACUUAUGAUGUCCCUGGUACAGGCUAGGGCGUUCGUGCGACGAUUUCGCCGCCGAGCUUGGUACCGUGGGUAGAUUGGGGGCGAUCACAUGGAGAUCACCGCCCGGGGCUUGAACCAUUGUGCUGGCGUUUGUGCGACGAUUUCGCCGCCAGAGUGGUUAAGCCAUUUGAGGAUCAGACCGCCAGAGUAGACUGAAUCCAUGCUGGGUAAGUACGAUGCGGGUGCCUCCAGGUGACUGAGUCUGACAUGAUCGUUGUUGGGUGUGGUGCGACCCGUUCGCCGCCAGACGGUAUGUCAUGUCUCGAGCUCACGCUGGGUAUGUGCAACGCGAUCGCCACCGAUGGUCAAGUCUUGUGACUCGAGCCGUCUUCAGCGUGUGCGACGAUUUCGCCGCUAGGAGGCUGAGUCAGAGAGAGUGCGGUAGGCUGUUGAGCAGCCAGUGCGCGGACUAUCCGCAGAUGAUUGACUCGAAGCCGAGUCGGGUGGUUAGCUAUGAUAGGGUAGAGGAACCCUUAUGAGCCAGAGAUAGAGGCUUGAGCUAAGGUAAUAGAAACCUUAGAAGCCAGUGGUUGGUGUUGUGAUCCUAAGGUAAUAGAAACCUUAGAGUAAAGUUAUGAGCUAAAGUAGCCAAGUAAAAGUAGAAUUCAUAUGAUCUACUAGUUGUUGCAUGGUUUUCAUAUCGCAUAUCGUGAGGCAUGGCAUGUAUUUCAAUUGAAUAUAUAUAUCUGUUGUAUAUUGUUGAACUAACAUGUUGCAGUGCCUCCUCGGACCUAUCGGUCGAGCUUUUCCCUUGGGUGGCCGUACCCACUGGGAACCAUGGAGUUGGUUCUCACCCCACGUGAUUUUG
rnacentral:lncRNA from 1 species